rnacentral:lncRNA from 1 species
UUUUUAGCAAAGAAACCAUGAGUCAAUGCAUAAAAAGGUGGUCCUACGAGAGAUGAUAAAUUUUAAAUACAAAAUGCCUCCACUGUUGACCUGUAUAAAGGUCAAGUGAUUGACCUAAUUAAAUAACACAAUCUCUCUUGUUGGUUUCCUCUCUUCUUUGUAGAAGCUAGGGUUUGCGAGAUUGGAAGUGAGCCAUGAGUUCAUCAAGUGCUGCAGAAAGCGAACGGGAAGGAAGGUUUGUUAACACUCUAUGCAAAUAUGGGAAGAUGGCAGAGAUUAGAAUACCAGAAACAAGUAAAAUAGAAACAAGCUCAACUACUAUUGUCAAAAUAUUGAAUGUGGCAUUUUUCUUUAUUGGUGCAAGUUCACGGACCAAUUUGAAGGAAGCAACUUUAGGGAUUCUAGAGAAUUUUCCAGUCGAUCUAGGAAUUUAAGCCAUUAUGAAGCCCGAAUUCUAAGUCUUGUGCAAGACAUGCUAGACAUGAAAGAUGUUAUGUACCAUGUGAAGGACAGAAAUUGGAAGCUAUUUAUGAGGCUUAUAGGAUUGGAUAUAGUUAUUGGGAAUUUGAAGUUGUUGACUGCUCUUCGCAUGCUUGCCCUGGUU